rnacentral:ncRNA from 2 species
AGAUAUUAACUGGGGAGCAGAAGGCUUUUGCCUGGCUGAGAGGGAAUCCGGUUCCGACCCAUAUACCUGAUGUGGAUAAUGCCACCGUAGGAAGAUUAUUAUUCUCUAGU